GACGCUCUGUACUCACAUGCAGUCUGCACUGAGAGGAGCAUUUAGUGACCGAGACUCAGAGAGAGAGGAUCUGAAACAUGAACGACAUCAAGCUCGCCCUGCUGGGGAGCCAAGGGGCCGGGAAGUCAGCUGUCCUCGUGCGGUUCCUGACCCGGCGCUUCAUCGGGGAAUAUGCCUCCAACGCCAAUUCCCUGUACCAUAAAAGGCUCUCGAUUGAUGGGCGACAGCUGAAUCUGGAGGUGUUUGACCCCUGCUCUGAG